rnacentral:rRNA from 1 species
GACGAACGCUGACGGUGUGCUUUAGACAUGCAAGUCGAACGAGAAAGCCCUUCGGGGUUAGUAAAGUGGCGAACGGGUGAGUAACACGUGGGCAAUCUGCCCCUCGCAGGGGGACAACCGGAGGAAACCCCGGCUAAUACCCCGUAAGUUCAAAGGGAGGCAUCUCCCCUUGAAGAAAGGUAGCUUCGGCCAUCCGGCGAGGGAUGAGCCCGCGGUGCAUUAGCUAGUUGGUGGGGUAACGCCCACCAAGGCGACGAUGCAUAGCUGGUCUGAGAGGAUGAUCAGCCACACUGGGACUGAGACACGGCCCAGACUCCUACGGGAGGCAGCAGUCGGGAAUCUUGCGCAAUGGGCGAAAGCCUGACGCAGCAACACCGUGUGUGUGAGGAA